AUAUAUAAAGAACAACAACCAAACUAUAUCUUCUUGUUUAUGUAAAAGUUAGAACAAAGAUACAUUUUGUAUUAAUAAUAAUAACCCAAUCUAAUGUAUCAAUCAAAACUUUUAACCAUUAAACAUAAAAACUCCACAAAUAUAAAUAAGAAAGAAUAUAAAGUAAUGAAGUUAUUGACUGACAGUGGAUAAAUCCAUACUCCCUUCACUUGUAACAUCUUUGUCAUUUCUUGCUGAGAUUGAUGCUGAAAACAUUAAAUUAAUUUAUUGAACCAUGAAAGGAUGGCGAAGGGAACACUGUCGAAGAAACGGGGGUGACCACCCAAACAGGUCACUCCGGUACCGGCGACGGCAAGCCCUAUGCAGCAGAGGGAAGGAACAACUGUGGAAAAUUCAAGCGAGGUGGAGGCGGAAGGUGUGGUGGAGGUGGAGGAUGGAAAGGAAGGUGUGGAGGAGGAGAAAGCUACGAAUCAGGGGUUUUGUCAAAACCCUAAAAAAUUGGGGAAUGUGACGGAGAAUCUAGGGAACGUUGAGGACGCCAAGCUAUGGGUCGAUGUUAUACGAGGAAAUCGGUUAACUAGGAAUGGCAAAGCGUUAGCGUUUGUUACUCCGAAGAUCGUCAAUGGCAAGCCUGUGGUGAAAAUUGAAGAAGAUGUGGCGAGUGAAAUCCGAUUUUGGGAGACUUCUCUCAUCACUAUUGCGUUUCAGUGCGUCUUCAUUGCUCCAUCGUGGCAAUGUGGUUUCAGAUAGUAGUUUACAGCCUGGCUUAGGGUUCAAUUUUGAUCAAUCUCUGUUUCGAGUAUUACAACUUUCUCUUUAUUUCAGUUUUCAAUCCGUUGACUUUCAUCAUCUAUGGCGUCCCGAAGACCUUCAACUUUCCUCAACGUUGUGGCUCUCGGCAACAUCGUAAGUCUUAUCCAUUUGAUUUCUUCAUCAUUUUAGUUUCUAAUUUAUUAUAUUGGCGAUUACAAUUUUGAUUUCGAUUUUGUAGAGUGGUGGUAAAUCAGCGGUUUCACAAAAAUUUUUCUCUUUCAUUGGGCUUCUGAUUUUUCUUCUUCUCUGUCUUUCAAGUUUGAUUUAGAUUUAGAUUUCAAAGUUUCAGGUUUCAUGGUGUUGGCUCACGCGGAAGGAGAAAGAUCCAUCACCGAUGCAAUGUCUGAUGAUGCGUAUGCGUUUGAUGAUGAAGCACAAAUUUGCUUGGCCAUAAAAAAGAAAGGAUGGCAAUGAGAGAGCCAAUAGUAGCACAGUUUUCUUUGAUGUAAGUUACUGCAAGAAAGCCAACCUCAGCAUGACAUGGUCUCCUUGCAAGCUGAUAUAUAUUACUAAUUCCUUUUCUUUCUGUUCCUGCAUAUUUACAUGAAGGGUCUAAGUAACACUGAAUAGGGGCUUCAGGUAACAACACUAAUAUUGGCAGCAUAGGGACUCUGUUAAUAUUUCACUGUAGUUGUUUGUUAACAUAUGAAUUGAUUAUCUAUAUCCAACAAAGAAUUAAGCCAUUGUAUAUUUGAAAGUAGAUAGCAAUAUGGAUAUAUAUUUAUGGUCCUCCAAGCACAACAUUCUCAAUGUCUUUUCUGCUCAAAGCAUAACUAAAUCUCCUUUCUACAUCUUUUUCAAGAUUCCGAGGCCCACUCUCAAAUUCCUGCACCAAAUCAUAACUUUUCGAUGUGAUUAACAUGUAGAAAGUUAAAUCCAAUUUAUACAAUACGGUUCCUCUCUAAAAUGUUGCAAGGUAUUUCAAAUUUAACUAUUUGAACUAUUUGAACUUAUCUACUGAAAUAAGCACGCGUGAAAUUGUUUGGAUGAGCUUUUACAAACAAAUUAUGUCCAUAAGCUUUUUCAAAGCUGUUUGGAUGAGCUUUUAGAAACUGAUAGGGACUGAGUUCGUUUAUACGAAUGUGCAGGGCUGAACAUGGAACUGUUUUGUCAGUCAAAGAAAUGGUUAGUCUAAAUGUUAAGACUAGAAAUUGUUAGGUUGUUACUUGACCGUUAGAGAAAUUGUUAGUUGUGUAAGUUUGUGUUUGUUAGUAGUUUUGAGAAAUGCAGACUUCUAAUGUCUCUAAUCUAUUCAUAGGCAACACAAGAAGUUGAUUCACAAAUUCUGUUGACUAUAGUUGAAGAAUUUAAACCUGUUGUAUCUACUGCAAAGAAGGCAUUUCCAGCAUGACGUAACACUCUGGUUACGACACGUCAACGCGUUAUGUUAAAGCUCCAGGAGUUCAUUUGCAGAGAUACGGUGAGCAUCUUACGACAUUAGACAACGUGGUGCAUUCUUUUGUGAAUAUAGACACCUUUUUUUGUCAUGCUUACUGUUAGAAAUUUUUUAUUAUCUUUUGACUUUGUACUUGUUUUAAGAUAAACUUGCUCUUAAUGUGACCACUGAACAAGGAAAGACACUGAAGGAUGCACAAGGGGAGAUGUAUUUCGUGGCUUAGGUUGGUCUUUAUCACUUAGGUUGGUCUUUAUCAUAAUUGGAAUGGUUCUUAAACUGUGUUGUAUGAUGCUAUAUAUAUAGUUCAUAAAUUCAAUGCAGUAGGCCAAAAAUGUUGCAGCUCACUAAGAACUAUAGCAGUCAAAACCUCACUUUCGAUUCCUCAAAAAUACUGUUUAAAGCUAUAGGUAACAUGGAAUGAUUUCGGGUCUGCCAUAGUAUUGAAUGAAAAAUCCUUUUGAGUAAACUAUCACCUCUUCAUUUUUAAUGAUUCCCCAUAAUUAUGCAAGUCGGUUACGUCCCGAAUACAAGAAACCAUUUAUUACUAAAUUAAUAGGUUUGAAAGUUUCUUACGGAUUGUUUUCUCCAUCUCUCAUAAAUUAUUAAUAAUAUAUGAUUACAUAUAAGUGUGUUUUUAUCCAUGAUGAUGGUCAAUUUGGACCAUAUUUCUACAUACAAUAUGUUUCAUAUUAUUUCAAAUUUAAAACAAUUUAUUAAUAUAUGAAAUUAAUUGACUCAUUCAAUUUGUAAUUACGUAAUUUAUUAUUCAUUAUUUUUGUUGAUGCAAUAUUAAUUUUCACUUUAAUAGUAUUUAUUCUAAUUUAUUAUUAUUUUUCAUGCACACUAUUAUCCAUCACUCUAUCACACUAACUAUUUAUUAUUUUAUUUAUUUAUAUUUAUUAAUGAGUAAUACAAUAUUUCUUUAUUCAAAAUUUAAUCAAUUAUUUUAAAUCCAAUUAAAUUUUAAACAAUCGUAGCCUAAAAAAAUAUAGAAAAUUUUUUUCUUUUUAAAAUGCAACCUCAUUAUUAUUACUCAAGCUA